rnacentral:misc_RNA from 1 species
GAUGAAGAACGUAGCAAAAUGCGAUAAGUAAUGUGAAUUGCAGAAUUCAGUGAAUCAUCGAAUCUUUGAACGCACAUUGCGCCCGCCAGUAUUCUGGCGGGCAUGCCUGUUCGAGCGUCAUUUCAACCCUCAAGCCCUCGGGUUUGGUGUUGGGGAUCGGCGAGCCUUUCUGGCAAGCCGGCCCCGAAAUCUAGUGGCGGUCUCGCUGCAGCCUCCAUUGCGUAGUAGUAAAACCCUCGCAACUGGAACGCGGCGCGGCUAAGCCGUUAAACCCCCAACUUCUGAAUGUUGACCUCGGAUCAGGUAGGAAUACCCGCUGAACUUAAGCAUAUCAAUAAGCGGAGGA